rnacentral:misc_RNA from 1 species
ACAAAGAAGCUCAACCUGAAGUGCCGGGGACUGUCAUUGUCCGUAAAAGCCACACAAAAAUUGGGAGUACAAUGAAACAUGUGCGACUGCUGUCUGUUAUAGGAAAGACGUUUGGGAUAAGCGAGCAAGGCCUUGUUAAUGGCUGGGUCAAGCGAUGCUGCAGAUGUUUAUCUUCAGGAUCUUCUAAAUCCAACUUCCAAAGAGAUAGCCACACAACAGAAAACUACAAGAAGAUAAUGAGAAAAGUUCCUCAAUCUGUGGUGGUGGUGACAGCAGGGGAAUUUGACAUACUGAAAGACCGGUGGAUAAAAAGAGGAAUGACGUGUACUUCUUUUACAAAUGUUUCCUACCAACCUCCAAUUGUGUCCAUCUGUAUAAAUAACCCAAGCCAUAUGCAUGAAUUGUUGUUGAGAACUCAGCAAUUUGCCAUCCAUGUGUUAAAGCAAAACCAGGUGGGAUAUGGUUUAGAUUUUUCAAAACACAUAGAGACAGAGGAAUGCCAAUUCAAAAAUAUUCCACAUGCAUUGACAAAUGAGGGUAUUCCCAUAAUUUACGACUGUGCGGCCGUUAUGGAAUGCCGCGCCCACUCUGUACACACCGUGGGAGACCACCAUGUCUGGUAUGGCAGCGUGUUCAAUGCUGAAAUCAGCGAGUCCGAAGACAAUCCUCUCCUGUACUACAUCAGAUCGUUUAGGUCUGUUGGAGAUGAAAUAUUUAUACAGGCCUUUGAGGAUGCCACUCUACCUUUUGAGGACUGGACUCACGAGGCACAUCUGAGGAUGGCCUGGAACUACAUCACUGAGUACGGCAAAGAAGGAGCCAUUCCUCACAUACGGUGAGUUUGACAUACAAUCAGUGUUAUCGAACUGGUGUAAGGUUUAUACCGGUAAUUCCUCUGCACUUUGAAAAAUUCUUGUUUAUGAUUAAAAAAAUUUAAAAGAUUAAUUAUGAUUAAAAGGCACACAAUUUCAGCAAAUUUUGGCUGAAACUGAAUUUGAUAAACUAUUAAUUAUAGUGAUCUGUUUUCAACAUGACUGAGUUAUCUCUCUUGAAACAGGUCUUUGUACUUAAGUGUAUUAACAUUCUUUUAUUCCAGACUUGGUAUACAGAAUUUUAAUGAACAAAACAAAGACAAGGUCAAGUUUGGAUUCCACGAAACCAUCACAAUGUUCUACAUAGCAGAGGUCGCCCACGCCAUAAAGAAAUCCCCAGGGGUCCCCUCCUUUGAAGAGUUUUUGGAGAGGAACCGCUACCUUCUAGACAAAACAGUCAUAGCUCAGUACUACUCCCACAAUCACUUGUACUCAGACACUGCCAGACAUCAAUUUGUGCAACCAGAUUUGAAGCAACUUCCAAGUUAAUGACUACAGUUUUAGAUAUCAAAAACUUUCAUUUUUAUGCCAUAUGCUACAAUCUUGCUUUUUUUAACAAUUUAUUUCAUGUUUGGGUAGAUACAUGCUUUCAGGAAUUCAGAUUUACCAAUAAUUUUAUACAUUAAAAGGUCAUAUAAAACAA